rnacentral:pre_miRNA from 1 species
AAACUACUCCCUCCGUCCCAAAAAUAAGUGUCGUAAUUUUGUCUAGAUACAUAUGUAUCUAGACAUGUUUUAUUGUGUAGAUUCGCUUAUUUUGGAAAAAAAUUGUGACACUUAUUUGGGACGGACGGAGUAGUAU